ACUCGCCUUUCAGCAUCACAGCCCUUGCCUCUAAAAUGAGGACUAGUAAUGUUGUGUAGCUGAGCAACUGGGAAAUAAACACUUGGCGCUCCCUACACGAGCCUGGUGCUGAGGCCUGGCAUGUCCUUGGAUAGACACUGCCUCCUGCUCUUCCGGCAGUGUCUACAGGAGAAUGUCAAGCUGCAUGUGUCUCCUCAGUGUCUCUGAACAACGACAUCCCUGAGUCUCUGCUGAAGGAGAAGCAGCAGUGUGAGGAGGGGAAGCAGGCGGAGGGGGUGGUGCUAGCUGAGAAGCUCAGGAAGCCAGGACCCUAAUUCAAGAUCAGAAGUGGAAACUGUUCUGUUAAGACAGAAGUUAUAACAUGGGAGAGAAGUGUCCUUUUGACUCAAUGACCUUCUCAGUGACCUCCUCAAAUUGGAUGACCUGAAAGUGACUGGGGCAGGACCUCCAAGAUGUUCUUGUUGUGGAGCACAGAGCACCUUGUAUACAAGCUCAGCCCUGAAACGGCUGGUCCCUGUGAUGCGUAUUAUAAGAACCAAUCCCCAACUGACAAGCCAUUCUGCCUGUGUACUUCCUGCUUGCUUAUCCCAUAUAAGUCCUAGAUCACCAGAGAUCAGGCCUGAUAUUCUGGGAGUGAUCCUGAUCAGUGCAUGUUGACGUAAGUAAAUCUACCUCCAAAUCCUGGGUGUCGUUUUGGUGUUUCUGCUUGCUGUUGCAUCAGCAGAGGAGGGAAAUUUUGC
rnacentral:lncRNA from 1 species